rnacentral:tRNA from 1 species
GCCCCGCUAGCUCAAUUGGCUAGAGCGUAAGACUUUUACAAAUGAUGUGGAUAUCUUAAGGUUGCGAGUUCGACCCUCGCGUGGGGCU